AGAACGUGGAUAACGUGUACUCCAACACAGCGGAAAGUAAUGGGACGUGACAAAAAUGGUUAUAAGAACCAGGAUGGGCUGCUCUACGUUGAAGUACAGUUUGACCAAGCAAGGCAAGACAGUGGAAAACCAGUUAUCCAUGGCGAAGAUGAAAAAACAGAUUAUGCUACGGUUGAGUUCCCCUUCCCACCAUCCAGCAACAACGAUAAACCUACAGAUGAAAAAUGAAGGAUGUUUAAGAUUAUUUUAAUAAAAGAUGUUUAAGAUUAUUUUAAUUUUUCCUUCAUUGAUUGCUUAUCUUUAAUAUCUUUCCUGCUUUUUAUACAUGUAUGUACGUGCAUAUGUAUCAAUGAUUAGGAACUAUUGAUAUGUACAAUAAUUCUUUAGUUACAUACCAUAUAUAUCAAAGUAAAUAACUUUUACAGAACUUUUACAUUAUGGACUUUAUGGAAAAGACAGUUAUGAAAAUUUAUAAA